UGCAAGUCGAGCGGGUAGAGAGAAGCUUGCUUCUCUUGAGAGCGGCGGACGGGUGAGUUAAUGCCUAGGAAUCUGCCUGGUAGUGGGGGAUAACGUUCGGAAACGGACGCUAAUACCGCAUACGUCCUACGGGAGAAAGCAGGGGACCUUCGGGCCUUGCGCUAUCAGAUGAGCCUAGGUCGGAUUAGCUAGUUGGUGAGGUAAUGGCUCACCAAGGCUACGAUCCGUAACUGGUCUGAGAGGAUGAUCAGUCACACUGGAACUGAGACACGGUCCAGACUCCUACGGGAGGCAGCAGUGGGGAAUAUUGGACAAUGGGCGAAAGCCUGAUCCAGCCAUGCCGCGUGUGUGAAGAAGGUCUUCGGAUUGUAAAGCACCUUAAGUUGGGAGGAAGGGCAGUAAAUUAAUACUUUGCUGUUUUGACGUUACCGACAGAAUAAGCACCGGCUAACUCUGUGCCAGCAGCCGCGGUAAU
rnacentral:rRNA from 1 species